rnacentral:rRNA from 1 species
UACAGAGGGUGCAAGCGUUGUUCGGAAUUAUUGGGCGUAAAGCGCGUGUAGGCGGCUUUGCAAGUCGGGUGUGAAAGCCCUCAGCUCAACUGAGGAAGUGCGCCCGAAACUGCAGAGCUUGAGUGCCGGAGAGGGUGGCGGAAUUCCCCAAGUAGAGGUGAAAUUCGUAGAUAUCGGGUGGAACACCUGUGGCGAAGGCGGCCAUCUGGACGUUCACUGACACUGAGACGCGAAAGCGUGGGUAGCAAACAGG